GGUGCAAGCGUUAAUCGGAAUUACUGGGCGUAAAGCGUGCGCAGGCGGUUAUGCAAGACAGAGGUGAAAUCCCCGGGCUCAACCUGGGAACUGCCUUUGUGACUGCAUGGCUAGAGUACGGUAGAGGGGGAUGGAAUUCCGCGUGUAGCAGUGAAAUGCGUAGAUAUGCGGAGGAACACCGAUGGCGAAGGCAAUCCCCUGGACCUGUACUGACGCUCAUGCACGAAAGCGUGGGGAGCAAACAGGAUUAGAUACCCUGGUAGUCAAGGGCG
rnacentral:rRNA from 1 species